rnacentral:lncRNA from 1 species
AUGCAAGAUGUGAAUAGUCAAAAAUUACAACAAUCGCAAGUGGCGGCUUCAGCUAGUUCUCGCGGGAAACGUUACUCCACUCAGCGACAGCGGUCUUUGCCUGAGUCUGGCAUCAGUUUCAGUCCUCCUCCUGCCGCGUUCCAGCAGCCUCCGCAAACUCACUAUUAUCAACCGCAAACGUACGGAACGCAGCCUCACCAAAAUGUCUACACACCCAAGACGGCUGCAGCUGCACCUGUGCUAACCCAGCAGCCGGCGGCGCAGUCGCCGCCAAUGCAGCUCGUCUACCUGCAACCGCCAACGCAACCUCCCCCUCCAGCUCAAUACCAGGCUCCACCUCCGCCUCUCAUCAACUAUGUCCCGCAGCCAUUCACAAACCCUGCUGCAGCCUAUCAACAACUCACUCUCCCACCUCCGCCACCUCAGCCAGAGUUGUACCAACAACCGAGUGGAAUCACAUACUAUAGUGCUCAAACGCAAGCAGUUCUGCCACGGCAAACACCUCCCAGGCGGAUCAAGGCGGCCAUUCCUAUAGUUCCUCCCCAGAAAGCAACAGAGGACACAGAUCUAACUCUCAGAUGGAUGAGGAGAAAAAUGCCAGAGAAUACUAUAACCAAGAAGCACUGGAGUCAAGCGCUGGCUAAGCUGUCGUUGGGCGUAAAAUUUCUCUGUUGA